GACGAACGCUGGCGGCGUGCCUAAUACAUGCAAGUAGAACGCACAGUUUAUACCGUAGCUUGCUACACCAUAGACUGUGAGUUGCGAACGGGUGAGUAACGCGUAGGUAACCUGCCUGGUAGCUGGGGAUAACUAUUGGAAACGAUAGCUAAUACCGCAUAAUAUUAAUUAUUGCAUGAUAAUUAAUUGAAAGGUGCAAUUGCACCACUACCAGAUGGACCUGCGUUGUAUUAGCUAGUAGGUGAGGUAACGGCUCACCUAGGCGACGAUACAUAGCCGACCUGAGAGGGUGAUCGGCCACACUGGGAGGGAGACACGGCCCAGACUGAUACGGGAGGGAGCAGUAGGGAAUCUUCGGAAAUGGACGAAAGUCUGACCGAGCAACGCCGCGUGAGUGAAGAAGGUUGUCGGAUCGUAAAGCUCUGUUGUAAGAGAAGAACGGGUGUGAGAGUGGAAAGUUCACACUGUGACGGUAUCUUACCAGAAAGGGACGGCUAACUACGUG
rnacentral:rRNA from 1 species